rnacentral:tRNA from 1 species
GGGGGCGUAGCUCAGUAGGUAGAGUAUUGGUUUGCGCUAACAGACCAAAGGUUGCAGGUUCGAGUCCUGCCGGCCCCA